rnacentral:rRNA from 1 species
GGGACACGUGGUAUCCUGUCUGAAUAUGGGGGGACCAUCCUCCAAGGCUAAAUACUCCUGACUGACCGAUAGUGAACCAGUACCGUGAGGGAAAGGCGAAAAGAACCCCGGCGAGGGGAGUGAAAAAGAACCUGAAACCGUGUACGUACAAGCAGUGGGAGCACGCUUAGGCGUGUGACUGCGUACCUUUUGUAUAAUGGGUCAGCGACUUAUAUUCUGUAGCAAGGUUAACCGAAUAGGGGAGCCGAAGGGAAACCGAGUCUUAACUGGGCGUUAAGUUGCAGGGUAUAGACCCGAAACCCGGUGAUCUAGCCAUGGGCAGGUUGAAGGUUGGGUAACACUAACUGGAGGACCGAACCGACUAAUGUUGAAAAAUUAGCGGAUGACUUGUGGCUGGGGGUGAAAGGCCAAUCAAACCGGGAGAUAGCUGGUUCUCCCCGAAAGCUAUUUAGGUAGCGCCUCGUGAAUUCAUCUCCGGGGGUAGAGCACUGUUUCGGCAAGGGGGUCAUCCCGACUUACCAACCCGAUGCAAACUGCGAAUACCGGAGAAUGUUAUCACGGGAGACACACGGCGGGUGCUAACGUCCGUCGUGAAGAGGGAAACAACCCAGACCGCCAGCUAAGGUCCCAAAGUCAUGGUUAAGUGGGAAACGAUGUGGGAAGGCCCAGACAGCCAGGAUGUUGGCUUAGAAGCAGCCAUCAUUUAAAGAAAGCGUAAUAGCUCACUGGUCGAGUCGGCCUGCGCGGAAGAUGUAACGGGGCUAAACCAUGCACCGAAGCUGCGGCAGCGACGCUUAUGCGUUGUUGGGUAGGGGAGCGUUCUGUAAGCCUGCGAAGGUGUGC